CCACCCCUCCAUUUCCACAUCUGCCACCGUCACCCGCCACCACCACAACCAUCUCGAUUCUCUCGCAGGCCAACCAGCCCUCUUUUUUAUUCACAUACAUAUCGCGGUGACGAAGCCAUUGUUUGUAGGCGAUGGCUCUCGUGGGUUCAGAGUUUUCCGUGACCACCCGUGACGUAAAACAUCUCUUAAACAACAACGGUUGUGAUUGUUUGAAGGACCAAUGAAGACGAUAACGACAUGUGGGUUUAUAUAGGCUACCAGGAAGGCUAUUUUCGGUUGUUUAAGGUGACUACAGUCCCGAUCUACCGUUGAAUGUAGUUUUCUCGGCCCGGUCUGUGGCGGCUAAGGUUUCAAGGUGAAACUGUGUUCACUGGCCAUGGUCGAGUCUUUUCUGGCGAGACUCAAAAACUACGCAUAACCAUCUUGCACCUUGUUUUGUAUUGCUCGUUUGUCGACUUCAUUACAUGGUUUUUGUUGUUGUAAUUUGAAC
rnacentral:lncRNA from 1 species